ACAGAAGUCAUCUAGACCUCACCUCCCUCCUUGACCAUCCCACUUCCAUCCCACAGUGGUUGAUAAGUAUAAAAUGUUUAGUUUAGCAAAUAGAAGAGGAAGAUGGGUUUGGGGGUUGGGAGAGCUGUGGAGGGGAGAGGGGAAAAGGGCAAAGCAUCUGUUCCCUUUCUGACCUCCUUCUAGAAAGACGGUGGAAGCAGGUUGCAGAACCUCUGUGAGUUGUUUUGUUUACAUGUGAAAUUAGCUGAGGAAAUAGUCAAAGAGACUCUCAGAGGCUCUAGGCACAAGCCCAGCUAUUUGGGGCUGAGCCAGGGAAGGACAUUCUCCUCUCUGCACCACAGAGGCCAAAUGGAGGCUUCCCAAGGACCAGACUCUUUGGGAACACUAAGAGGCAACACCCUUGGCAUGUGCUGUGUUCUCAUGAUGGACAGUGACCCUGGAAAAGUUUCAGCCUCGGCAAAGCCUCAGCAAGUGGCCCUGCAAGCAGAAGCUGGACAUGUGGGAGCUGGGGCAGAAGCAAAAUAACAGGGCAGAAGACGAUGGCAACUGUGAAAGAACGACUGGUGAGCAAGGGAACUUCUUUGGAAACUUCUAGAAAUAACUGGAAAUACUUUGAAGGGGGUUCAUUUCUUUCAGUCGAGUAGGAAGGGGAUUUACGCCAUAAAUAAUCGGUAUGUAAAAAAAAAGACAACUGGCAGAUGAGGCCUGGAACACAUGGGUCAGGCACGGAUUUCUAAUAUAUCCAACUGAAAUUCAUCAUUAUCCCCUUUCCACUUUACCAGCAAGAAAACGGAAGCUCAGGAGGUUAAAUAACUUUCCCAGCCAGUAACUCUGUAAGUGACUGAAUCAGAAAUAAAACCAUGUCUGUCUGCCAGUAAGUCCAGUAUUCUUUCUACUAUACCACACUGCUGAUCUGGGCAACAGUGGGGAAAAUAUGACACUUGAAAGGAGCUUGGAAAAGAACACAGUAGGUCAGGAUACUAGCCAGGGUUCUGGCAGAAAACAGAACUCAAGCCAAAUUGUUCAAAUGAAGGGACUUUAACAAAGAUACUGCUGACAUAG
rnacentral:lncRNA from 10 species